GCACUGGCUAACUCUGUGCCAGCAGCCGCGGUAAUACAGAGAGUGCGAGCGUUAAUCGGAAUCAUUGGGCGUAAAGCGCGCGUAGGUGGAUAUUUAAGUCGGAUGUGAAAGCCCUGGGCUUAACCUAGGAAUUGCAUCCGAUACUGGGUAUCUUGAGUAUGGUAGAGGGGAGUGGAAUUUCCGGUGUAGCGGUGAAAUGCGUAGAUAUCGGAAGGAACAUCAGUGGCGAAGGCGGCUUCCUGGACCAAUACUGACACUGAGGCGCGAAAGCGUGGGGAGCAAACAGGAUUAGAGACCCUGGU
rnacentral:rRNA from 1 species